AAGGGUCUUGCAUCACCCGCUUUUGGUGCGGCAGCGAUGAAAGGGAACCUAGUACUAGAAGACCUGGAGAAAUGAAAUCUUGUGGAGAGCCGCAAUAAACGGCUCAAGAAGAGACCACCCAUCCCUGCCCUGUGAAAGACCAUGCUUGAGUUUGGAAAGAAAGAGGAAUGAGGCUGCUUCUGCUCAGUGAACUAGGAAGGAGGAGAAGGUCCUCGCCCCGUCUUUAUGUUUUGUAGUGAGAAAGGUGUCAAUAUGCAGUCUUCUGGGAGGUGAUAAGAGAGCAGCGGAAGAAGUGAAAUGAGCAUCCCUCCGUGGGAGUCGGCGCGUUCAGGAGAAGCCAGAAGCGCUGACCCUGAGGGGUGCUUGUGCUGGGGCCAGGAAUGUUCUGGUGCUACCAUCCACUUACUCCGGGGAUCUCUUCAAUUUGGUAACUGCAUUGCAAGAGGCUUGGCUCGUUCUUCUGGUGUCUCCAGCGAAGGUCCUCGUGAGCCGCUCCGGCAGAGACAGGGACUGCUCAGCUGCUGUGCCGUGGCGGAUCCUGCAACCGGCGGUGCAGCCGUGGCCUCUAGCCUGGGCACGCUUCUGCCGUGAGCCAGGCCAUGGACUUUGGACAAGGGAAAAACUAAAGAGUGUUUCAGUGACAUGGAGAGAAGAAGGAGAAAAAGGUCCUGCGCGUGGGCUCAGACAGCCUGGAAGCGCCGGCAGCAGUCAGCAGGAGGAGAGUGUCGCCGGGAUGUGCCGCUGCAAGGCCGAGAUAACCCAGCUCCUCGUCUUGCCCUUGGCUGCUAGGGUCUGCGUGCAGGCGGAGCUCUCCUGGCGCGGGGCGCUGCACAACGCCAUGCGCAGCCGUACCCCGAUGGCCGAGCGGAGAAAUCUGCGCUGCCGUGCUGUACGCUCGGUACGAGACACGUUUCUGGAUCAGUAAUCUAUCAUAAUUUUGUUGGACAGAAGGGAGUAGCACCAGGUUUCUUUCUUCUGGAGGAGAGAGAUUUUGAUUAAUUUUUCCCCUUCUCUUCAGGGUUAGCACUUUGCAUUAUAUAUGUUUCAAGGCAGGGAAAUUGCUUGCUUGACAGCUGUGGAUAAAACAUGAAACUUUAGAUAAUGUUUUAAAUUCACCAGGGACAAACCAGCUUCAAUGUAAUUGAUAAAUUAAACCGAAUUCAAAUAUCA
rnacentral:lncRNA from 1 species